CUAUGCGCCUUGCCAGCCCGCUCAGGUGUGCCAGCCGCCGCGGUAAUACAGAGGUCUCAAGCGUUGUUCGGAAUCACUGGGCGUAAAGCGUGCGUAGGCGGUUUCGUAAGUCGUGUGUGAAAGGCGGGGGCUCAACCCCCGGACUGCACAUGAUACUGCGAGACUAGAGUAAUGGAGGGGAACCGGAAUUCUCGGUGUAGCAGUGAAAUGCAUAGAUAUCGAGAGGAACACUCGUGGCGAAGGCGGGUUCCUGGACAUUAACUGACGCUGAGGCACGAAGGCCAGGGGAGCGAAAGGG
rnacentral:rRNA from 1 species